rnacentral:piRNA from 1 species
UAGAUGUUGCCCUGGAUCUGGG